CCUUACUCGCCACAGAAUCAAUAUUGCAUUGAGCAGUGUUAUUUCGCUGUGAUUUUCUAUAAGGUUGAGGUACUUUCCCAGUCGAGCUGUUCCAGAUUUUGAGCAGGAUAGUUAUUAGAUCUUGCUGUCCCCUACCUAAGUAAAAUUAUUUGUUCAGGAUGCGUGAUUCACUAUUUUCUCAAUACUAGUUUAUACAUAUAAUAGGAUUACAUCAUAUUACCUUUAUCCUUUACACAUUUUCUCAUACGGGUACAUAGAUCUGGUUUUCUUUUAAAUAAUACGUUAUUUUAAAAUCUAAUGUUCAUCCCGACGUGGAUUCCAUUAAAAUGCAAAUAUCCUACGUUAGAUGUAGACAUCUAAUAUAUUACGUAUAAUGUUUUCUUUCACGUUAUUAUUCUUAGUCUCGUGUUAAAUGUUGAGGUGUGCGGUUUUAAGCCAACAUCAAGAAAGAGGAGGUCAAGGAGAACAAGAGUAUGGUCCACCUGAUGAUCACAUAAUCAACUGCAGUCAAAUUGAAACGAGGUUAACCAACGUCUGUAAUAUAUAAGUACAAUAACCCGCAUAAAAUUUUUAUACUA